AUUGAUCGCUGGCGGCAGGCCUAACACAUGCAAGUAGAACGAGUCGCGGACGGGUGAGUAAUUUCUGGGAAACUGCCUGAUGGAGGGGGGUAACAACUGGAAACGGUAGCUAAUACCGCAUACCAUCAAAGGUGUCCAGAUGGGAGUUGCUUGUGGGUGGGGUAACGGAUCACCAAGGCGACGAGCCCUAGCUGGUCUGAAAGGAUGACAAGCCACACUAGAGCGAAGACAAGGUCCAGAUUUGUACGGGGUUCAGCAGUGGGAAUUAUUGCACAAUGGGCGCUAGUCUGAUGCAGCACGGACGCGUGUAUGAAGAAGGCCUGCUGGUUGUAAAGUACUUUCAUCUGGGAGGCGUUACCCGCAGAUGAAGCUCCUGCGAACGCCGUGGCAGCCGCCGCGGUAAUAC
rnacentral:rRNA from 1 species